UGCCAAUCAAGGAAAAUAAAAAAAAAAAACGGCGACAAGAGAUUAUGAGGAAAUUUCCACAUGAUGUUGACAAAGACCUGCUCUAUUUUUAAAAUGAAGAUAUAUAUACUGACAUAUAGUGUACAUGUACCUUGAAGAUUUGUCCCCCUUGUAAAUACAAGAAAUGCAAAGUAUACACAGAUAUAUACAUACACAUAAAAGGAGACAUCAUCUCAUGAUCUGUGGAUCCAUUGAAAACUUUAAGGACAAAACUGUUGAUAAUUCAUUCAUGUAAAGAGUGUUGACCUGAAUAUUGAAUAUCUAAAUGGAACUAAGUUAGAGAAUUAAUUUAAUAAGUAUUAUAUUGUAUAUUACUGAAUACUCUUUUUAUUCAUCUGUCAAAUUUCUUAAUUAAAAAUUAAACUUAAAGGCUUAAAUAAGGAUUUUUUUCAUUAUUUUAAUUAGAACAAGUUCUUUAAUUUAUUUUUCUCUUACAUAAUUGAUAAACAGGCAUUUAAGGUCAUGCGCAAUGUAGUUUGCACUUUAUUGGGUUCUUCCCUGGAGUUCAAUAGUUCCACUAAAGGAAGGACCUGUGUGCAAUAUUUUUAUUGUCUAUAUAUGGAUUUGUAAAUCUCCUCUAAAACAGUUUUGAUGAAAAAAAAAUCUGGAAUUUAUGUUUUGUAAUUUUUGUACAUUUUUCUUUGAAUAAUGCAAAAAUUUUCAAACUUUAAUAUCUUUUCAAAAUCCCUGGAAAUGCAUACUGAUUUUUUGUCUAAAAAUAUGUAAUAUGGUACAUGUAUUAUAAGUUUAAAUAUAGAAUUUCUUGAAAAAUUAUCAGUAGGUAAGAUACCUUGCAUAUUUCCUUAAAUGUAAAAUUAAGGGAUGUGUACCUUUAUUAAAUGAACUAGGGAAUUCAUGAAGUGUGCAUAUUUAUUUAAAAGUGUUUUAUUUUGCAUGCACUAUGCCUAAAGGCAGAGGAUUUUUACCGGGUGGUAAAUUCCAGGUGAGGGAGGGGCUUAUUUUGUACAGGUGUGAAUGCCUUGGGAGCUACCAGUCUACCUGUGGCCAUCUGUCUCCUAAUUCCUAUACACAGGAAGUGGUUUAAUACACAGUGAAAUACCCAGAUGUCAAACUUUACCUGUGUUGGGGUUUUGAGAAAAUUUUGAAUUAAUAGAAGUAAUACAAACUUUCUCUGUAAUCUAUAUUGAUUUAUUUAUGAAUGUUUGAAAACACCCCUACCCAUUUAAAACAAUUAUGAUGAUAUCAUACUAUAAACUCAAAUAUUACAACAAAGAUUAUUUU